AGACAUAAACUUUGUUUAUUCGGCCUUCCAAACACGUGUUGACACCAGGAAGCCUCAAGACCGAAUGAGUACACGAUUCGAUAGGUCGACCGUCGCGCGCCAAUAAUUCUAGUGUUUAUCUAAACGGAUUAACUUUUUCCCUAGCACGGUUUCAAGAUGGCCUGUUCGCAAGACGCCUAGCGGCUUCGGAUAGGCUUUGUGUUGUUAUUUACGUAUCAACCUUCGUAGAGUGAGCAACCUACUCCUGCAGAGAUCGCAUACGCAGCUGACUGGAUGCGUCUCUUUACAAACCACCGAAACCAGAAACGUGUGAAAACAGAAGCUCUCAAUACCGGAAGGGAUCCUUUUUUGUAACUUGCCAAAACUACGUCUGAAACAUCCUGCAGGAUAAAUGCAUCGAGGCCGAGCAGCCUGGUUUAAAAGAAAGUAAGAGGGGAUGGGGUGCAGGUUUCUUGCUGAAAAUCCGAGGAUGUCAACGCCAGUUGACGUGGUUGAAUACAUAAAUCGCGUUCUUGCCCGGUUUCACUUGGAGAUAACAGACGUUGGUGUAUCGUUGCGAACAAAAAGAAACAAGGGGAAGUUGUAUCUGUUCGAAAACGAUCGAACGAAUGCAGCAGGACAAAUUAAUUCAUAAGGAGUACAAGUUCAAUUGAAAACUUCAGAUCUUGCUAACAGAACAGAUUAUUUCUAAUGAACACUUGGAAUGAAUAAUUACACUGUCGGAAUUAGAAUUCGAAAUCAUUUUCAUGUCAUUGCGAGAACAUUGCCUAAUCAAGUGAUUUCAAUACUCGUCUUAAAACUUCAAGUGAGACGUGAAUACAACUUUAUUUCAAAUUUUAUUGUAAUUUGAAAAAUUAAAUCUGAGAAGGGAUAGAAUUCAAUUUAAUUUCUAAUUAGAGCCCAUAAAAAAUCAGCGUAUUAUCAAAACCCUAUAAAUCGCCUGGAGGACUCCCAAUAAGGUAACACGAUCUCAUCAAUAAAAAUUAAUUAGGAAUCGAAUAAAUGAAAAACAAGCGCGUUACAUCGAUAUCGAAGGAAUAUCAGCACGGUGGUCAAAGAAUCAAGUCGAUGCAAUCCUGUUGGUUCCUAAACCACUCGCCGGAUACUCGUUCCCGUCAGGACGUGGCCCAUUUUUCAAAAUCGUAAUUGCAUUUUUUUAUUCCGCUCGCGGCCUCCCAGUCCCCUGGUGGUUGCUCGUCCUGUUCUUUCUGGCGAUGCGUGGCUGCUGUUGCUGCCACUUCUGCGGACCUCGAUGGCCCGGGAGGCAGGCAUCCAUAUUCAUGCGGAAUAAGGUGCAAUUAAACUCUGCGAGGUGUCAGCUACGAGGAGGGCAUUAAUCACCCAACAAAGCCACAUUUGACGCACUAACCGCCGCGGAUACCAUUACACACGAACCACAUAAUAAGCUUGCAUUACGACGGAAUGAUAAUUUCACCGGCAGGACUGUAACAAGCUGCUUUGUCGCUUGAUUCACUUCCCUUUGUGCUCGUUCGCCUCCUCUUUUUUGGCAGGAUUUCAGAGAGAUACGUUUGCAAGUAUGUAGCAAGAAAUUCUUGACAACAGUUGGGUAAGAAGGUUCGUGGUGAGAGUCGAAGAACAAAGGGGAAAGUGGGUGAAGAAAUUGAAGCGAAGGGUGAGACUUAAUUAAGACCGAUAAAGUUGUCACUUUAAUUAGAGUUCAGAAUUUACACUAAUUUUUGAAUCGAAUAUAUAGAAGAAAUAAAAACGGGGAUCAUCCGACUUUCACUGUCCAUUCUGUUUAAAAUAAGCACCGAUUAAUCAAUUAGAAGCAUCGAUAACCCGCAAUCUUUUUUACAACAACGUUUACCUUAAAUCCUCUGGAAUUAUGUCUACAAGGAGAGGAAAGUAAUCGCUUGAAAUUACGAAGACACCAACGGUCCUGUUCGUCCCAGUUUUUUUCACGCGUUCCAUGAAAAUUUCAUAAGGUAAUUCAGCUCCGGGAUGGCUCGGAUCGAAGGUAAAGCAGGAGUACGUACGGUGAAUUUUUCUUUUAUUUUUUCAACAAGCCAACGGUAACACGCGUACAACGUAAAAAUACUCGAAAACGCCUUGAACAAAUUAUACCGCAGGUGGGCCAACCUUGGCUGGGAGGAAAGUAAUGUCUACAUUUACACGCGAGCAUGCAAAUUGCCGGUGAAUUUAUUACUUAUAAAUGUGAGAUUAUUCCCCGGUGAUUCAUCUUUAUUAUAAGGCGUCCGCGCACCGGGAUAGCGGCUUAAUUCGUUUUGCGGUGUUAUUUUUCGCGUGAGAUUGAUAAUCGGUUCACGGAUCCAGAAGCGUGUCGAUCGGGCUCGAUGGUUUACCGAAACGAAAAUCGGCGACGAUUUACAUCGAGAACCGGCGAACGAUUAACCAUCGGCGAAACGAGCGGCCGCCUAAUCCGGAGCCUUCAAAUCAGCCGAUGAUUUAGAGGAGAGUCGCAAUUAAUCUCGGCGUUAUCGUUCGCUGAGAUCGAAAUUGCUCCUGCAGUCUGGAAUGAUCAAUUCGGGUGGACCUCGACGUUGCUGCUGUUCCUUAGUUCGAAUGAUGUGAUCAUUUUUCGGAACAAAGACAUCUUUCAUUUUCGUCUUUGCAUUAGUCAUUUAUUCUGAGUUUUUUAGGUAGACAACAUUUUAUUUACACCGCCAACAGACAACAUAAUAUAAAACCAACCUUGAAAGACAAUUUAAAAUCUGCUACAAUAUCUGUAAAACAUAAAAAUAUACAACAAACUGUAAAUCUACCUUACCUAAAUAAUAGGAAAAAAAUCAAUUUUAUUUAGAAAUUUCUUUAGAAUCUUCAACGACGCCGCGUCAAGACGAUUUCGAAAGGUGGUUCACUCGUUUGCGCCCCUUCUCACCUCCGUCUCUUCUCUAAUCUGAAGAAGGCGAAGGAAGAAAGUGCAAAUCACGAUCCGUCUGGCAUCGGUGAAGCUAGUGAAACGCGUGAAAGCGGUACAGGGUAAUGUUCGUUUCAAAGUCCUGUAGGUGUGAUCCACCAUAAUGGCGUGUCAACGACGCGAAACGUUACGAAUCAAUUUGUACGGUUUCAAAGACGUGAAACGCCGAAAUGACGUUCCGCGUGGUCUUCGAUCGAGCUGGGAGAAAUGACUGUUGAAGAAAUUCAUCUUGCUCAUCGAAGGGGAUCGUCGCACCGUUCAAAGAACCAUCUCCUCUCCGUGCAUGGAGAAAUAUUGAACGUCACGAUCUGGUCGUUUGGCGAUUCUGAUGCUUUAGUGACUUUCGGCAAGUAAUGGGCGAAAUUAGCAUGAACAACGAGGUGAGUGGUUCUGUCUUUCAAGGUCGUACGAUGGUAGUGGAGAUUAGGGCUGGUUGCCUGUAGGGGUAGGUUGACUAAUUGUUAACCCUUUGAGAACGAAUCAUUUUUAAGCUUGCAUAAAGUCCACAUAAUUUUAAAAAAAUCCAAAACUGAAAAACUAGCCUACCAACCAUGAUCUCCCCUAAAAUGAAUCGAAAAUUUUGAAAGAAUGAAUUAAAAAAUUUUCUUCUUCCUAGCGAAGAUUUUACAAUUUUUCUAGCAUUCGCAGAGCAAACAUCGACUGCAUAUAGUUUUAAAGAAAGUGUUACGUAAAUUUUCUUCAACAGUGCCUGGCAGCAAUCGUUCGAAGAAGGAACUGGUGGAAUGGGUACGAGGAAGGAAGCAAGCAUCUCCUCGCUCGUAAACAACGAAUCCUUUUCAGAAGGGAUAAGACCGAGCCCACGCCAAGUGGCGCAUCUGCCGGCUCGUUAUCUAAUGGCGGCUCAUGCCGGCAGAUAAUUGAGCUCUCUGCCACCUGAGGCGAGGCUCGAAUAGAUGCGGCCUUAUUAGGAGCGAUGCUGCGUUGUCCGCGGUAGCCAAGCCUCGAAUCGUUGUUAUGUAUCGAUUCUUGAUUAAAACCCACCCUCGGGCUGCCACCUCAUUACGCCUUCGAACGAACAAUCUUUCAACCUCCCUUCGAUCCUUUCCUAAUACGACGUUAGGUGUGAAAUGCAAAAUCUUAAAGAAUUUUUGAAAAAAAAAAAAAAAUUUCCAAGCUGAUAUUAUUUGUGUAAUUUGAAAUAGCUGUAACCAAAGGAUGGUGAAUUUAUCGAUCCCUGGAUCUUAUCGAUGACCGCUUGUUAAGCAAACUUCCAACGUGACUGAUGCAAUUGGAUAAGCAAAUUGUUCCCAGGUCAACGUGUAACCUUAUCUACGAUACAAUUACGAUAUCAGUGUGCCUGUUCACCGUGACUGCAUCCAAUGAUAGAAACUAUCCCAUGUCUCUUGAGUUACGGGGUUGUAAUUCUACUUCGGAGGAGGCUGAACGCAUAGAAAGCGACAGCUGCAAUAAAUAUACGCGUCUCCAUUGAAUUGUAUCGAGAAGGAAACGUUGGCUCACGGCCAGUCUUGCACCUUCGUACUAACAGAUUUUACCCUUAUGAAAUCCAAAACGUAUAUUUCAGCAGUAAAUUACAGUGUCCUUUCAGACGACAAGGUGGCGUAGCGAAAGGUAUACCCUGUUAGGAUCCACAGCGAACGUAGUUUAAUAGAUAAAGUUUGAGAUGGAACAUGGAAAAAUGGUUAUUUAGAGAUGUUUAAAAUAAGUGAAGCUUGAAAUGAUUUAUAGCGAAAAUUUGCAAUAUUUUUAUCGUUAUAAAUUUAAUCCUCAAAGGUGACUUUCGACAGAUUCAGAGGUAACUCUGUUCACUUUUAUGGAAACCGUGUAUAGAGUCCCUAAGGCUGUUGAAUAAGUCAACGAAUGGAAAUGGCAGGGACACUUUACGGUUGUAAAUAAUGCAAAACGAAGAACAGGCGAAAAAUUGACGGUCUCAGUGUCGUAUUCGCCGAUUUUUCAUAGAGUAUCCCAUUUUCAAGAAAAACGACGCCUAUAAGAGGUUAUCGGAGCGUAUGGUUUCUCCACCCUCGGGGAAAUCGAGCGAGAUCGUGUCAAUAAAUCGGAUGGCGUGCGCGAUUGCAGCCAGGGAAAAGAAAUGGAGAGGAGAAAUCGAAGAACGCGAUGGCAUCCUGAGAGAUCGGCAAUGGAAGGUGGCCGGGGGACACGAUUGUAACGAUCGAGAGCAACUGGUCACGCAUUUCGAAGAUUUAACUUCACCUUUCAAGAAGCGUUUUACACCUUUUUUAAUCCAGUUACUGGUCGAUAGACCAUUUUAUUUCAGACCUGCAGAAAAUUUAUGGAGACUUCAGUAGUAGAAGUCAAUAAUUUCGCAGGCAAAUCAUCUUAAUUCGUGCAAUUUGCAUAUUUUACUCCAGCUCCAAGUCUUCUCCAUAAUUCAGUUGACACGGGUCAAAAAUUAAAGACCAGAGGUACCAUUUCUGUCCCCCUUCCUCGCAAAUACGAAUCGGUAUCUAUAAGAGCAAAAACGGAGAGGACACGCUAUCUCGAUAACGAUGUCGUCCGAUUUCUUGGCUUCCUCGUACAUCGAGCCAUUAGAACGACGCAGUGCGGUUGCAGGUGAAUUUUGGCCGUGGUAAUAAUCUAAUAAAUCGGCGAGAAAGACGUAUGCUCGGCUGCUGUGCGGCCGAAUCGAAUGCCGUUCGGUUAGCGGGCCGCAUUCCCGAUUCGAUGUUUACGAGGCUGACCGGCCGAAAUUUAUGAAAAUUAUUCGCGGCUACCCCGAUUUCGCGUAUUCAUGCAGCGAUGCCCACUCCACGGCCACACGACAUCCGGCCGGACCAACGUUCCCAUUGUUCUCCCCGCGACAUGUCGAAAUUUCCAUACGCGACGGGGUUAUCCAAUAAACUCGGACAGAGGCAUUCCGGCUCGGCUUACCCGGAAGUUGCUUAUUCCCGACGAUCCUUUUGUUCCAGGAUAAGAUCCUUUGUACACGAUCCUGCUGGACCGUGUCUUUUGGCUCAGAUAUGCGCCCCUUACGAGUAGAAUUUUGGGAAUGGUCUCAGAUGCAAGUGUUAACCGUUCCCAUUCGAAGAGGAGAAAUAAAAGGAAAUUCGACUGGUGCAAGUGUGUUUCCAUCGAGAUAAAUGCGAGCAUUGCGGUGACUAUCGUCUCCCUUCACUGGCCAUGUUCUUCAUAUCCCACGGGUCUCGCUGCUAUCUGCGUUUCUUCAUCCGUGACCGGAAAUAUGCUUCUUGCUAUAUAAAAAAGAAGGUGUGGAAAGUUGUGUGUUAACCACAGAAUCAUCUGGCUUAUUGUAGACCAUCGAAUGUUCGUAUGAUUUCAGCUGCUUUAAUAUCCGUCCCCUUGGCCACGAUUAUCCAGACAAAAACAUUUUCGUAUCAAUGUUUCAAUGGCAAAAAAUUUAAUGUCAUAUUUGUAUUGCUUUAUUUCUUCAGACUGACGAUACAGGGAGAAACGAAAAGAUGUCAUGAUCCUUGGUGCAACCAUCCUCCUCUCGUGGAUUUACCACUGCCUUAAGGUGCCAUUCUUGAGACCUGGGUGCUCGUCUUCCUGGCACAGACUCUUGGCAGCAGGUGGUUCCUCUUGCAAGAUGACUGGAUAACCAAGCAUCCGGUUAAACGGCGGCACUGGAAGCGCGUAACUUAAGGUACGCCAUUAACGUUAUCUCGUUCGUGAAUAAAAAUGGCUUGCGAUGGAGGAGUGUGAAUCGCGAACCGACUGAAAAACACGGAAAGAAUGGAACCUCCGGUGUUUCUUAGCUGACGCUCGAAGAAAUCGAGUCUCUUCUCUGUUCUCUCUUCGACGCUUUCCAAGAACGUUGACAGCCGGAUUCUGAAAGUGCUCGUUUGGCGCUGAAUUAUCUCUGAACUUAAGUCCCUGUCUGUUCGAGUUUCUGGAGUUUCGAUUGAACGUGUGAGUCUUCCAGACGCUCGAGCACGCUCUUGAGACGAACCGAGAGAUUGAACCAAGUGUGGCGAAGUAAUUGACAGUCAGACGUCGAAAUUAUCCAAGUUGGAUCCGAACAAAGCAGCUUAUUCUUGGUAAGGAAUAAUUUCCGAUUUUCCUAGUUCCCUGAUCUCCCAUCUCUCAAUUUUACAAUUUUAAUUUCCCAUUUUCUCCACAUGCCAGUUUCCGGAUUUCUCAUUGUUCCAAUUUCUCGAUUUUUCAAUUCGCCAAUCUCAAUUUUCCAUUUCCCCUAAUUUAACAGUUGCCCAAUUUCUCAUUCCCCCAUUUGCCAGCUGUCAAAUUUUCCAUUUUGUCCAAUUUGUCAGCAGUUAAUUUUCCAAUUUGUAAGAUGACAAAUUUCCCUAUUUAUCUAUUUUUCUAAUUUCCCAAUUUCUUGGAAAUAUGUCCCAUUUGAUCUAAUACCAUUCCCCAGCGUAUUAUCUUUCUUACUCUUUUUUACAAUUCCAUGUCGACGUUCAAUUGUUCGUUACAUCAAAGAGUAGGUCGGUGAUUCCUCUUCGAACGUCAAUUAAAGAGCAAUUCAGAAGAUACGCGCGCUUCACUUUCCUUCCCUUGAUGCUCGCGAGUACAGCAAUAAAUUUGUCUUUUUUACGGUGCCCUCUGUUAACCGUGUUUCACGAAACGCUGACCAAGCGGUUCAAAUUUUAUUCCCUUUCAUUACUUAUUCUUUGACGAGCAAGGUUCCACUGGCGCAACGCGCAAUCUUCCCCUGUUGACACUAAUUGAACGGACCGGAAUAAUGCAACGAUCUAUCGUGGUACCGCUGGGAUUUUCCCGCGGGAAUCAAUCAGAAACGUUUCCCUCGAUGGAGAAUCGUCCACGUCGAUGUCAUUGCUUAAUGGACGAUGCUCGCUGAAUGAAGGAAACACGACUAAUUUGUGGCUCGACAUAAUCGAACGAUCCAAUUUUCGAUAUCUGUUGUUAGUCCAAAGUGGUAUCCACGAAUAUGGUGCAAUUUGUGUUGCUUGUGUACCUUCAAUUACGACAGAAUAUUAAUUAACUCUUUGACUGUGAAAUGAGUACAUUUACUCUGUUGUACAUCCAUUAGCCAAGCCCAAUAAUAAUAUUUCUCUGAAAUAUUCCAAAAUAUUUCAUCCAUUCUCUAUCAAACUUUGAAGAUUUCAAAUUUGUAUGCUCAUCUUCAUCGAGCUGUUUCCCAAAACGUUCAUUAAUCAAACUGCGAAUCGACUAGCGAAUCAGAUGCACCAAUCGACAUUUCCUUGAGAACAUUAAUUGACCGCGUCAGGAUAAUCCUGAGGUCCACGAAUACUUUCCCGCGGGAGCUAAUCAAAGGUAGGCCGGACAAAAACACGGAUUUAUGGGCAGUAGGCGGUACAAGGAUCACGAGGGGCCAAGAAAGCAGGAACGUGGAAGAAGGGGACGUUGGGUGGAUAGAUAAGAGGGUGGAACGAAGCGAGGAAACGAGAAAAGAAAAGGUAAAGACGAAGAGAAAGGUCUGCUGUUCUCGAGGGACCGUCGUCGAGGCAGCAGUAAUUACUUCGCGGCUGCACCGAGGACGAUUUUUUUGUUUGCACCGUGCUAAGUGUGUUCCUUAAUUGAAUUUAAGGUUAUUUAAUAUGCUUUUAGCCUGCUAUCUGGGUCCUCCCCCUUACAUACUUCUGGAAACACGAGGCCCGAUCGAUCGGGCCGGGUACGCUCCGUUUCCCUUCUCUCCAAACUUCCACGCGUUUUCUCUCCUCGUCGGCGGUCCGUCUCGGCAAGACGUCACCCAUAAACCUGCUCGGUCCUGAAUUAUGUCCGGGGCUUAUCGAAAAUACGGGGCUUAAUUUCUGCCCGCCGUCGUUUCGAUUACAAAGCGAGAGACUCGCUCGCCGAGGGAGAGAUUUAAUUGAUGCGAACGGACGACCGAUUGUCUCGAACGCGCUCUUUCCGCCGAACCACGAGCUGCUGUAAAUCCUCCGGAAAUUAACGAUUCCAUUGCUGGAUACGAGCUUCAUUCGGACCGGUCAAAUUUGCCGAUUCGCAGUUGGAAUUUCAGAGAGAGAUCGAAAGCUGCGAAAGAGAUUUUUCGAAUUUCAUUGACGAGAGAUUUAUGAACUGGGAGUACAAAUUGAUGGAAUUCUUUCAUUUCAUUCAAAAUUUUUCCCUCGAUUUUGUACAAUGUUUGAAAUAAUAAACGCGGUGAACGAUAAAAAGUAACAGUAUCGAUUUAAACGAUCGCCAAAAAAUCUUUAAUGCGCCAUAGGGACAUUCACGCCCGGCGUAUAAUCGAUUUCACGAAGCUACCCGCGAAAUUAAUCGGCUGCUGAAAAACUAAUUUGAAUAUCAAACGACCAGGCUACCGGGUGUAAAUUACUGUCCUCGGCCGUGACAGAGAUUCAAACGACAUGCGCCAAAGUAUUCCGCGAAUACGCGUCUUAAAUCAGAAUAAGGAUACCUUGCUUCGUGUACACAAGGGGACAAGCAAUGGCGAUUGCGAUCCCUUCUCGAUUUAUGGGGUGGUGGUAAACAGCCGGUGUAAUUUACCCAGCCUCCCAGUGUUUGUAAAUAACGUUCUGGUUAGAAACUAAUUACCACCGGCCAACCAAAAUAUCAAUUCUCCGUCGAUUAUUUCGGUCAUUAUAUUUCACUGGUUUAAUUAAAAAAUAAUAGUAUUUAAAUUGUCAGCGACGAAGGUGAUAAUCAACUUCAAAAUGGAAAGUAAUUUCUGUUGAUUUCGAAAAUAAAAUCGAUAGUCCAAAUUCUAAAGAAGAACGAUGGUAAUAAUUAUUGCUUUUCGGUUGUACAAAGGCAUAUACCGUUGAAUUAACGAUCAUGGUUACCUCGCGCACGGUUUUGUGUCAGACUGAUUGACACCACGUCGGCUUACGUAAAAGCCUGCGGCGAAAUCUCUCCGAAAUAAUAAGCAGGGUCGAUUUGAAAUCGAGUUCACUGCCUCUCUACUUCUUUCGUGCACCUUCGAUCAAUUGUAUUCACGUGGGCGAAAAUGAGAAUCGGGAUUAUUAAGUGGAUUAUUUAACCAAUUUCCCUCUAUUUUAUUUUAUUUAUGUAAAACACUAAAUCCUCGAAUAUUCGUAUCAAUCUGACAAAUUGAAUUAUUAUAAUUGACAAAUUAAGGCUCCGUGACCAAAGAAUGAUACAUCGAAUGCCAAGUUAUAUGAAAGUAUAAUACCAAGAUUUAUAUUGUUAUGUGAAAGCAAACGUGAUCGAAAUUAUAAUCCACCGAAAGAUCCAGGUAAGAAGCUGAAAAUUUCGACACGGUCCACGUGAACUGACCCGGAGAUAUCAUAUUUCUCGUUGAAUCUAAUUUAUUCCGACAGGGAACAGUCGAAGAUUUCUAGAUUUCGUUCUACCUGCGAGACUCUUAAACUGCCAAGUCGGAAGAUUUCUGGGGAGGAGAAGUUAUUACGACACAGCGGGGUGCCCGACUAUUUCGUGUUACUACUUCGAAUAACAAUUACACGCCGAGCAAUUAUAUUUUCCCCCGGUGAUGUCGGUUCUACGAAAGAAUGGCAGCUAUCAUUUGCCUGUCAGAAACAACACGAAUAAUUAUUGCUCCUCGACGUGGCUUUAAUUAAACGACCAAUCGAAACAAGACGAACAUCUGCGUCGGUGUUGUAUAAAUAAUUAAUAGAGGAACUCGUUUUCAUCAAGUUGUUCCAUGAUUAAUGAAUGAUACUGAACCAAGGUUCCCCUAAAAUAUUAACAAACUCCUCAUCUUUAGGGAAUUACAAGAAAAAUUCUUGGAGAUUUCAUGAAUCGUUGAUCCGGGAAGCCAAUAAACUUCAAAGGCACGCAUAAACAAAAAAGAUACAAGGAAGAAGUAUCGAAAAAAAGUGUCACAAGAGUGGCGUAUCGUUCGCGUAGAACAAUAAAUCGUGUCCUCUUGAGGAACGCAGGUGGUGGUCAAGGAAGAGGGCUCGUCGCCGCGUCAACUUUCGGUAAUUAAUCAUCGAUGGAAGAUGACUAUCACGGCUGAAUUAUCUACGUGUAAACUAGCCGUGUGGCUUGUACCUCUAUUGUAUAAGCACUCAACCCUUCCAUUGUGGCCGAUGAGAAAUCGGCCGGUUUUCAUAUCCGUGGGUUUUGUUUUACCGCUUCCAUCGGACGCGUGCGGACCUACCGUUUCUUUUCCUUUUCUCCUCGGCAACGGAGAGAAGAUAUCGUCGUAACGGCGAGGCCAGGAAACGUUGCACCGGUGUUUGUCGCUGAAUACUAAACGUUUGUAGAGAAUAUCCCGUCCCGCGGACCGAGACUCUUUGCAGUCGACGCAGUAAAUUGCAUCGAAUGAAUGGGAGGCGAACGUGUAACGUGAUAUUUACAUUGUAAAUAGUUUUACAGUGGUACUUCCUUCGCGCUGCAACGUGACACACGCGUUUUUCAAACGUCAACCGCGACGUGAAAUAGCCUCGAUUUUUAAUAUCAACAUCGUACCGAAGAAAGGAAAGAGUAAAUCGAACCUGGCGAGCUAUUUGUCAUAGUUUAUUCCAGGAAUCGAAUUGCUAUUGUAAAUUCUAGAGGAACCAUCGUUGUUAAAUUGCAUCGCUUUCAUAGCUGUCAAAAUAUUAACAUCAAUUAAAUGCAAUUAUUUCUUUCUCCUUAUGGUGGUACCAAACGUGUAAUUUCAAUUCGAAAAUUACGGUUCUCGUGUCAAAUAAUUUGAAGACCCUGAUUGUUAUCUACGAAAGAAGGGUGCUACGGCAGAGGGUUAAAAUGGAUGAUACUGUGGCUUCCUUGUGACACUGGUCAUUUACGAAUGGAACCUCUGAACAUCGUGAUGUUAGACAACCAAUUAUCACAGACACCGUCCACCAAACGGAGAUAAAGAUCGAAAAAAGGUCAUAAAUGUCCUUUUUCAAACACCUAACAUCUAUGAACACCAAUACAAAAUCUUCGCUGUAAAUUAUAUUCCCAUGGUGUUUGAGCUUGGAACAAUUUUCAUACUAAUGAACUCCACAAAUUUAUAUCUAAUUGGUGUUAUAAUUCCAUAGAAUAUGUUCUCUCUUUUAUGAGUUUUUGAUUCCCCUGGAAUAUGAAAUUUAAUUGUUUUUAUUCCUGACAGAAUUCAUUAUGUUAAACACCUUGAGAGAAAUGAAGUCAAAGCUUAGCAAAGUGACAAAAAGCUCUAAUCAUCUCGCAGAAUUAACUAACUAGUCCUAAGGUGUCCGAGAUGAGUGAUGCGGGGAAGGAAAGAAUGUCGUAGGACAACGAUGUCCCUUAAGAAUCAUCACGGUGAAACACCUGCCUUGUACAAACAAUUUUUCAUCAUAACCAUUCCUCGCAUGUAUCGUCAUUCUCGGUCAUUCGUCUCGUCGUUCGACUCCCGACACCCAUCCAUCUACUUGUUAUGGGGCUUUCCUGGGUCCCUUUUAUCCCUUAUGGCAUCGGUUCUAUCAUGAAUCUGUCGCCCAUCAAUUUACCUUUUUAUUUAAAUCAAAACCUACGAUAAGAAAAAUAUGAAUCUAUGUUUCAAACAACGUAGAGUAUAUUGUUUAAACGAUUUUUGUGCGGAACCCAUCGAGUUCCAUCGAAUCCUCGCAUAAUCCUCUUCCGGCAUUCUUGCUCAGGCGUGCCGGAGGAGCAGAAGUAACAUGUUUUCGCUUCUCUUUCUAUGAAACACAGUGGGGUAUCAUUGUGCGAUGACGUCUGUGUACAAAAUACAGUAUUGACACGUUCAGAGAUGAUCAUUAGGGCUCAUUGUUGACAGUUCGCACGUCGAAUCGUCACUAAGGCUUCGUCUCGAUGUCCUGUCACGUUCUAAGGAGAUCAGUUUCGAAGGAUUUCGAGAAACAGGCAUACGGCCUGCUUCCUGUCUCGUUAUCGACCGUUUGCCAAGUGAAUAACUCCUCGGUUCGGUCACGUUUUGUACAUAAAUCCAACCUUUUUCCUUCUUUCCUAUCGCAGCUUUGCGCAGUCCUGGGAUAAGAUGAGCUGAACUAAUUCAGACAUCAAUCUUCGGGCAAAAUGUAUUCUUCUAUUCCGAAUAAGAUUUUCCUCGUUAUUGUAGGAGUCGAUUUUUCUCAGUUGUCGCCUCCUUGUUCUCUUCUUCAAGAACAAGCGACAAUGUUUUUCAUUAUUUUUAAAAAAGAACCGUCCUACAGAAUGUUUAUGUAGGAAUCGUUAGUUAUGGAAUGAAUUUUUCAAUAAAUAUUCAGAAUGAUGUAUCAAUGGUAUAGCACAGGUGCAACCAUAAAUUCCAAAAAUUGCAGCCCACUUGGUAGCAAUAUGUAUCCCCAUCGAUUUACCUGUUGCAACAGGUAGAUUCCACUUACCUGUUCGUUCCAGAAGCUUGUAAUUAGCCUGAAAACAUUUCGAAGGAGAAACAUUCGGAUCUUCCGUGGAGUUUUAAUAAUUGGAGAAGGUGGAACGCGCUUCGUCCACGUGGACGAGGAGCUACGUGAGCGUGGCCAGACGACAUACCUGGGAAGUACUUAAAUCUGAAGAAGCCCAAGGAAAGACGAAGUGGAAAGGAAGCGAGAGGACUUGGAGAAGACUCCGCAAUUACAGAUUACAGGAAAGAAAUGUGACAAGUGUUCGAUUAAAUACACGAAACUGCUUCUGCCGAGCAAGUGUUAUCAAUUCAAUUUCCGCGCCAAGGAUCGGUGUCUUAAUUACGAGCCACUUAAUUAAAAGAAAUUUCCUGAUCACCUGUUGAUGACCGGCUCCUUCCGUAAUCUGACUAAGAUACAAUUCUGCGGAUUCGUGAGCAGAUGGGUCGAAAUUGGAAGAGAAAUGGCCAGUUUCGUGCUAGGAGCACAGAAUGGGAGCGUCGAAAGCGAGCGAAGGUGCAACGAAGGAAGACCCAUUGUCCGGCAGACACUCGACGGCUAAAGUGAUAAUUUGCGGGUCACGAUUAAGAUGUGGGAUUGUAAAUCGUGUCGUGGCACGUUCACGGUGCGUGACCAAUCGACCAUUAAGGUAACUUACGUAUCACGCGAGAGGUGCCGGGUUAAUUUGCGAGCGUUGCUUCUCUAAAAUUAUUUCCAAACUACUCGCCCGCUCUCACGCAUGCCACGAGCAAGUUCGAUUUCUCCCUCGCGGCUAAAAUGCAUCUUUAACGAUUUCCGGAAUUCGAACGCAGCUCGUGACCCAUAAACGAACAAAGAAUUUCAGAAAAUUUUUCUCUUACGAGUUGUUUAUUUCUGCAUGGAAUUGAUUCAAGAAAUUCUUGGGGAAAUGGACUAUAAAGCAGUCGCGAAGUUUCAAUCUUGACUGAAAACGAUCAUAAAUUUCUUUGAAACGAGCCGCGAUAACCUGUUGCAUUCAUACACCUGCUACGAUACACCUAUUUGCAACUUUGUAAAUAACCUCUGAAAUUCUAUAAUUUAGCUGAAGUUUACUUGAUUACUUCGGAAACUCGUUUCAGAAACGUGCAUGCUAUCCUGUACACGUUUUGCUGCUUAUGGUAGAAGUGUACUUCGCUUAAGCGUUCUUCACCUUCAACAUUUCUUUUUUUACUCAAUUUCGUUGGAAAGUGUAGUUAUAUAAAAUUUCAUAUCCUUGUUUUCAGAUGAGGUUUAUCAUUAUCAUCCUUCAGGCGAUGGAAGUCUUGGGUCUUUGCUAAGCCAAUCAUAUAAUUUAGAGUUUAGAUGUAAUUUGGCAAUUUUUUUUUAAUCCUACAGCGUUUCUUCAGAUUGGAGAUUUUGAAAGGUGGAACGAGAAGUUGACGAAGAAGAUUUCAUGCGAACACGUGCGUGACAGGAGAAACACUUGAGGCAAGUUUGCAUCAAAGUAUCGCCGUCUUCUUAGUCUGAUCGCCACGUUUUGUUGUGACAUCUGGCUUAUGGCAGUGACUACAGAUUUAACAAGACAGGGUAGGUAUAAGGAGGGGUAAAAUAAUAAAUAAAAGGGAUGGUUAACCGAGGCCAACAAGAGGAAUAAAUUCAUAAAUUUCAUAAAGAUAAAAAACUAAUUAAAAUAAAUUAAGGUAGACAGGUAGGUCCACACCC